rnacentral:tRNA from 1 species
GGCGGCGCUGGCGCGGCGACGCGGUCCGGCUGUUCGUGCUGGCCGGGGGCGGGUUUCUGCUCGCCGUCGCGGGCGCGACCCCGGCCGCCGGCC